rnacentral:rRNA from 1 species
AGAAUCAACGCUGGCGGCGUGCCUAACACAUGCAAGUCGAACGAGAAAGUGGAGCAAUCCAUGAGUAAAGUGGCGCACGGGUGAGUAACACGUGACUAACCUACCCUUGAGUGGGGAAUAACUUCGGGAAACCGAGGCUAAUACCGCAUAACACCUACGGGUCAAAGGAGCAAUUCGCUUAAGGAGGGGGUCGCGGCAGAUUAGUUAGUUGGCGGGGUAAUGGCCCACCAAGACGGUGAUCUGUAUCCGGCCUGAGAGGGCGCACGGACACACUGGAACUGAAACACGGUCCAGACUCCUACGGGAGGCAGCAGUGGGGAAUUUGCGCAAUGGGGGAAACCCUGACGCAGCAACGCCGCGUGGAGGAUGAAGUCCCUUGGGACGUAAACUCCUUUCGAUCGGGACGAUUAUGACGGUACCGAAGAAGAAGCCCGGCUAACUUCGCGCCAGCAGCCGC